AUGGGACACGUUUUCUGCAAUAGGAAUGGAAUAUGUGUUUCCGUCAAUUAUUGCGACGUAAUCACUGUCGUCUUACAAGUCGCCAGAAAUUGUGGACCUGUGAAUCCUGAAGGGGCAGACGGAGCAACUCGACAAGUUUGUGGUGUGCAGAUUUGAUGUGCCAAGUGGCCGUAGUGGAGCUGCAGUCAAUUGUUUUAGCAAAAUGGAGGAUAUGAAGAAGCGUGCACAAGUGGUCUGGUGGUAUGCAGAGACAAAAUCAGCGAUCCAAGUUGCAAAGAAACUUUCGUCGAGUUUACAACAAAGCGCCUCCGUCGUUCAAGACUAUAAAGAAGUGGUGUGAUCAGUUUUUGGCUACUGGGAGUGUUGCGAAAGCGCAUGGUGGUGGUAAGCCUGGGAUCAGCGAUCAUCAUGUGGUACAAGUGCAGCGGUCAUUCUGAAAGUUAAUGUGUGGUGUGGUUUGGUGAUAAAUCACAUUGGUGGACCGGUUUUCUUUCAGGAGCCGACUGUGGAUGGAGCCAUCUACCUGGACAUGUUGGAACAAUUUGCCGUGCCACAGAUAACAGACCUGCAGCCAAAUAUGAUGUUUCAACAGGACGGUGCACCACCCCAUUGGAGCCUUGAUGUCCGAAAAUUUUUAAACGACACACUCCCGCAACAAUGGACUGGCCGUUGAAGUCCAAUUCUUUGGUCGCCACUGUGGUGUCACCGCCAGACACCACACUUGCUAGGUGGUAGCCUUUAAAUCGGCCGUGGUCCGGUAGUAUACGUCGGACCCGCGUGUCGCCACUAUCAGUGAUUGCCGCCACACGGCAGGUCUAGAGAGACUUCCUAGCACUCGCUCCAGUUGUACAGCCGACUUUGCUAGCAAUGGUUCACUGACAAAUUACGCUCUCAUUUGCCGAGACAAUAGCAUAGCCUUCAGCUACAUUAUUUGCUACGACCUAGCAAGGUGCCAGUAUCCGUACUAUUGAUAUUGUGAAUCAUGUACCAUAAAGAGCAACGUUCGUCAUUAAUGGAUUAAAGUUAAGUAUUCCACCAGCUACAUCCGUUUUUCUCAAAUAUAAUUCCCUUGUCAUGUUCCAGACCUCACGCCAGCCUGCGUGAGCUGAGAAGCGUUCAGCCUCCUUUAACCAUACGGUUGGCUCUCCUGCCAACCACAACAGCCAUGUUCGCCCGACAUAACCCCCCUCGAUUUUUUAUUGUGGUGUUAUGUGGAAGAUGGGGUACACGCUACACCAAUAAAGGACCUGCAAGACUUGAAACAGUGCAUAAGAAUUGUCAUCAACUCUGUCACAGAACAUAUGCUCCAUAACACAUGGUACGAAAUCGAUUACAGACUUGAUAUUCUUCGCGCUACCCAUGUUCAAGUGUACUGAACCGUCCACCUGUGUGUGAAAACUUGAUGAGCUGCUGUAUGAUUUCCCUGUAUUUGUUCAUCAAUAAAUUGUGUUUUUACUCUGA